rnacentral:lncRNA from 1 species
UCAGGUCUCUACUCUGCUAAAGACAAAGAGAUGCUCACAGAGAAAUCUCAGGACUGACAAGUCAGUUCCUGCCACUGUCGAGAGUGACUUUUGGAAUUGGAAUACAUUAUGUGGAAAUACUUUCCUGCCGCUGCACUUUUGACCUGAGCUUUCCCAAUGAUAUGUCAGGACUGAUGUUUCCACUUGCCAGAAGUUCAAAAGCUUCUUCUCAAAACUGGCCUGUUAAUGUUUCCACUUGCCAGAGGGAGAAGCCACAGCCGAAUCCAACAUCCAGAUGGGAACACAUUCCUAUGAAAUAA